UACGUAGGGUGCGAGCGUUAAUCGGAAUUACUGGGCGUAAAGCGUGCGCAGGCGGUUUUGUAAGCCAGAUGUGAAAUCCCCGGGCUUAACCUGGGAAUGGCAUUUGGGACUGCAAGGCUCGAGUGCGGCAGAGGAGACUGGAAUUCCUGGUGUAGCAGUGAAAUGCGUAGAUAUCAGGAGGAACACCUGUGGUGUAGACGGCUCUCUGGACCGCAACUGACGCUGAGACACGAAAGCGUGGGUAGCAAACAGG
rnacentral:rRNA from 1 species